rnacentral:lncRNA from 1 species
GGAGGAGGGAGUAGAGAGGGAGAGAGAAAAAGGGAGAGAGGGAGGGAGGGAGAGUGAGGGAGAGAGGGAGAGAGCCCUCUGGGAAACUGUAAGAUGUUCAGCAGCCUCUAAGAGGCAGGGUUGCGGGAUGGGAGGUGGAGUGAAGCCAGACAGAGUGACAACAGCCAGGACAGAGGGGCCCUGUUGUUGGCCAAGCAGCCCACAAUGGUUCUCAGCCCCUACUCAACCCAUGAAUCACCUGGGGAGCUUUAAAAAAAGUAGCCAAUGCCCUAGUCUCAUUGAAGAUCCGCUGAGUCAGAAAGGCGACUGGGAGACCCGCAGGGCGGCAUUCAGAUGUUCUUAAAGCUCCCAGGUAAUUCUUCUGGGCUGCCAGGGUGGAGAGCGCCUGAGCUGUAGCUGAGGGAAGAGGGGAGACAUUCGCUCUAUUUCCUUUGAUUCCUGAGGCACUCCAUUUUAUAAAUAAGAAAAUCAAGGCUCAGAGAAACUAAGUGACCUUUGCAAAAUCACAGAGCAAGUCGGUGAUGGGACCAAGAUCUCAGAGACGCGAGACACAAAGAUCCCGCGGCAGGCAGGAAGAGCCCAGCAGAGCUCCUUUAUCCAGCUAGGGGAGGGGCUUAGUGAUACUGCGGUGUUGGACAGCAGAAAGAUGAUGGAGGAAGGCUCAGAGGAUCUUGACUUAUAUCCAACCAAGGAGUGAACAGCAUGGGCUUGCAGAGGCCUGGGCUUCCCAGUCAGUGGCCUUUCGGGACUCCUCUCCCCAGUGGCACAAAAUGGGCUCUGCAUCCACUCCUUCCCCCUAGCCUCUCUCUACAGGCUGGACCCAGGCACGCUUCACUUUUUGGUGAGAUAAGGCAACAGAGGCCAGAGGAGGUUCAGUGAUGCACCCAGGGCCACAUAACCAGUGAAUGUUGGGGAUCAGAUUAGAGUGCCCACGUCUCCAGCCUCCUUCUGCCAUUGACACCAUCACAUCGACCAUCCGGGCAAGACCCCCGCACCGCCCCCAAGGGCGCAGGCUUGAUUUCACUGCCAAGCCAAUAAUGUCAGCAACAGCACUUAUGGUGCUGGACCAUAAAUGAAACAAGCUUUGAGAACUAACUGCCACCCCAGAGGCCUCAGGGAGGAGGUGGCUGCCCUCAAAGGCUCAGUCUCGUAUUCUGUAACCUCUCUACCCUGAAGAAGAUCCCACCAGCUGCCUCUUCUUCCAGAUCCUGCCAAGAAUUAGGCAUCUCCCAACCCCACUCCUGGGCCUCUUCUCCACAUUCUCCCUGCCAAUCAUCCCCUUUAAUAAAAAACGGUGAAUAAUUUUCUAGCAUGCAUCUUUGGAUUGUUUACUGAUUACCAUAAACAUUAGCUGCUUUUGAAAUGCAUUUUUUCAGCUUACUGUAUUUUUUUUUGACUGAUUUUUUUUUUUUUUGAGAUGAAGUCUCACUCUGUCACCCAGGCUGGAGUACAGUGGCUUCAUGUCGGCUCACUGCAACCUCUGCCCGCCAGAUUCAAGC